UUGGAGUGAAAAGCUCAAGAGAUGGAUUAAAAUAAGAAUAGACAUAAGUCCCUAUGGAGUUUUUUGGUUCAAUAAGUAAAGUAGGGAAAAUUAGAAUGAGAUCAUGUGGAGCAAGGACCUUGACCAGGAAACCGAGACCUGCUGUGCAGAGUAGGGAAAUUUCUAAACCAGUUACCACUGUCCAGCCCCCUUCUACAGUCUGGCUAAAGUAGCAAGAGGGAGGGAGGAAGGAGGGAACCAAGGGCAGCCAGUAGUGCCACCUUCUCUCCACCUUUGGAGAGGGACUUGAUUUCCAGCACCACCUCCCUGCCCUGCCCACACCAACAAUAACCAUUAAUGUUCCAAGCAUUUUACAUGUAUUAAUGUAUUAGCAUUUCAUCCUCACAAUCAUAGUAUAAGGUAAGUAUUAUUACUCUCUAUAAUUAAAACUAAGGUCCACAGAAUUAAGAAAGAAAUUUGGGUUAGUUCUCUUUCCCAUCUUGCAAGAUGGCAGGUGAAAAAGUUGAGAAGCCAGACACUAAAGAGAAGAAACCCGAAGCCAAGAAGGCUGAUGCUGGUGGCAAGGUGAAAAAGGGUAACCUCAAGGCUAAGAAGCCCAAGAAGGGGAAGCCCCACUGCAGCCGCAACCCUGUCCUUGUCAGAGGAAUUGGCAGGUAUUCCCGAUCUGCCAUGUGUUCCAGAAAGGCCAUGUACAACAGGAAGUACUCAGCCGCUAAAUCCAAGGUUGAAAAGAAAAAGAAGGUUCUUGCAACUCUUACAAAACCAGUUGGUGGUGACAAGAACGGUGGUACCCGGGUGGUUAAACUUCGCAAAAUGCCUAAAUAUUAUCCUACUGAAGAUGUGCCUUGAAAGCUGUUGAGCCACGGCAAAAAACCCUUCAAUCAGCACGUGAGAAAACUGCGAGCCAGCAUUACCCCCGGGACCAUUCUGAUCAUCCUCGCUGAAUGCCACAGGGGCAAGAGGGUGGUUUUCCUGAAGCAGCUGGCUAGUGGCUUGUUACCUGUGACUGGACCUCUGGUCCUCAAUUGAGUUCCUCUACGAAGAACACACCAGAAAUUUGUCAUUGCCACCUCAACCAAAAUCGAUAUCAGCAGUGUAAAAAUCCCAAAACAUCUUACUGAUGCUUACUUCAAGAAGAAGCUGCAGAAGCCCAGACACCAGGAAGGUGAGAUCUUCGACACAGAAAAAGAGAAAUACGAGAUUACAGAGCAGUGUGAGAUUGAUCAGAAAGCUAUGGACUCACAAAUUUUACCAAAAAUCAAAGAUGUUCCUCAGCUCCAGGGCUACCUGCGAUCUGUGUUUGUCCUGAUGAAUGGAAUUUAUCCUCACAAAUUGGUGUUCUAAAUGUCUUAAGAACCUCAUUAAAUAGCUAACUACAAAAAAAAAAAAAAAAAAA